AGUGAACGCUGGCGGUAUGCCUAACACAUGCAAGUCGAACGGCAGCACAGUAAGAGCUUGCUCUUACGGGUGGCGAGUGGCGGACGGGUGAGGAAUACAUCGGAAUCUACUUUUUCGUGGGGGAUAACGGAGGGAAACUUACGCUAAUACCGCAUACGACCUACGGGUGAAAGCAGGGGAUCUUCGGACCUUGCGCGAUUGAAUGAGCCGAUGUCGGAUUAGCUAGUUGGCGGGGUAAAGGCCCACCAAGGCGACGAUCCGUAGCUGGCCUGAGAGGAUGAUCAGCCACACUGGAACUGAGACACGGUCCAGACUCCUACGGGAGGCAGCAGUGGGGAAUAUUGGACAAUGGGCGAAAGCCUGAUCGAGCAAUACCGCGUGAGUGAAGAAGGCCUUCGGGUUGUAAAGCCCUUUUGUUGGGAAAGAAAAGAAGCAGGUUAAUACGCCGCUGUUCUGACGGUACCCAAAGAAUAAGCACCGGCUAACUUCGUG
rnacentral:rRNA from 1 species